UGGGGAAUUUUGGACAAUGGGCGAAAGCCUGAUCCAGCAAUGCCGCGUGUGUGAAGAAGGCCUUCGGGUUGUAAAGCGCUUUUUGNCCGGAAAGAAAUCCUUGGCUCUAAUACAGUCGGGGGGAUGACGGUACCGGAAGAAUAAGCACCGGCUAACUACGUGCCAGCAGCCGCGGUAAUACGUAGGGUGCAAGCGUUAAUCGGAAUUACUGGGCGUAAAGCGUGCGCAGGCGGUUUGCUAAGACCGAUGUGAAAUCCCCGGGGCUCAACCUGGGAACUGCAUUGGUGACUGGCAGGCUAGAGUAUGGCAGAGGGGGGUUAGAAUUCCACGUGUAGCAGUGAAAUGCGUAGAGAUGUGGAGGAAUACCGAUGGCGAAGGCAGCCCCCUGGGGCCAAUACUGACGCUCAUGCACGAAAGCGUGGGGAGCAAACAGGAUUAGAUACCCUGGUAGUCCACGCCCUAAACGAUGUCAACUAGUUGUUGGGGAUUCAUUUCCUUAGUAACGUAGCUAACGCGUGAAGUUGACCGCCUGGGGGAGUACGGUCGCAAGAUUAAAA
rnacentral:rRNA from 1 species